UCCUCUAGUAAAGACUCCUAUUUAUAGGAGAACAAAGCAUACAAAAAAUAUAUACUAAGGACUAAGCGUGAAGCGCACUGAAUACAUUUCCUUAGUAAAAUAAAUACAUAACAUACGAAGACAUGAAACCCUUCGUAUGACAACCUACACCUUUCGACUUAUUACAACAUUUUUAUUCUUACAGUUUCGAGAGUAGGUAAAGGGAGUGAUGGAGGCUGGGGUGGAGGCCUGAAAUGAUGCUUAAAUAGGGUACCAAGUCUGGAAAUUAGGAUUUUUCAAUCCAGACCAGACUCGCCGAGUCGGUCACUUGAUCCGCGACACGGGUCACGCUCCGACAAGUCGAGUUCCUCCUUGGACUCGACGAGUUGACUCCUUUGACUUAUGGAUUUUCUUUCCUUUCCUGGUCUUCCUGAUUUUGAGUGUUACAUUCAAGUUCAAUCGUCUCAUCUUCCAUUUCAAUAUAGUCAUUCGUUUUUGACAUCUACAAACAGAAAACAGUUAAAAACAUGAAAAAAAUAGAAACGGGAAAAAUAACUAAAAAAACCUAAGCAUAGGAGUACAUGGAUAACACAACUUUGCAAAAAACGGAAAACAAUUGCUAACUUUAUAUAUGUCUUUAUUAUUGUAUUUAUUAUUGUAAUGAUAAGAAUUAAAGAAAAUCAAGGUCGUCUAGAAAACCAGUAGAAUGAACUCGGGUUGACGGGUAACGAAAUUGAGAAAGAAAAAACUCACUAAAGAGAUCGAAGAGGUGUGACAUUUUAUAAGCUUUCAACUCUAUAAGCACUAAACAUUAUACAAAACUAUAGUUUUUCACCUCUUGUGCUAAUGGCCUCUGAUGAACAAAGGAAUAUAAAGAAAAUCAAGGUCGUCUAGAAAACCAGUAGAAUGAACUCGGGUUGACGGGUAACGAAAUUGAGAAAGAAAAAACUCACUAAAGAGAUCGAAGAGGUGUGACAUUUUAUAAGCUUUCAACUCUAUAAGCACUAAACAUUAUACAAAACUAUAGUUUUUCACCUCUUGUGCUAAUGGCCUCUGAUGAACAAAGGAAUAUCUUGUNN
rnacentral:lncRNA from 1 species